rnacentral:rRNA from 1 species
GAUGAACGCUAGCGGCAGGCCUAAUACAUGCAAGUCGAACGGAUAUAUGUUUUUCGGAAUAUAUAUUAGUGGCGCACGGGUGAGUAACACGUACAUAACUUGCCCUCAAGCGGGGGAUAGCCUUGGGAAACUGAGAGUAAUACCCCAUAGAAUUAUUGGACGGCAUCGUUUGAUAAUUAAAACUACGGUGUUUGGGGAUAGAUGUGCGUCUGAUUAGCUAGUUGGUGAGGUAACUGCUCACCAAGGCGACGAUCAGUAGGGGGCGUGAGAGCGUGGCCCCCCCACACGGGUACUGAGACACGGACCCGACUCCUACGGGAGGCAGCAGUAAGGAAUAUUGGUCAAUGGAGGGAACUCUGAACCAGCCAUGCCGCGUGAAGGAUGACGGCCCUCAGCGUUGUAAACUUCUUUUGGAUGGGAACAAUAACUCCGACUUGUCGGAACUUGAGGGUACCAUCAGAAUAAGCACCGGCUAACUCCGUGCCAGCAGCCGCGGU